rnacentral:rRNA from 1 species
GAAACAUCUAAGUACCCCGAGGAAAAGAAAUCAACCGAGAUUCCCCCAGUAGCGGCGAGCGAACGGGGAGCAGCCCAGAGCCUGAAUCAGUGUGUGUGUUAGUGGAAGCGUCUGGAAAGGCGCGCGAUACAGGGUGACAGCCCCGUACACAAAAAUGCACAUGCUGUGAGCUCGAUGAGUAGGGCGGGACACGUGGUAUCCUGUCUGAAUAUGGGGGGACCAUCCUCCAAGGCUAAAUACUCCUGACUGACCGAUAGUGAACCAGUACCGUGAGGGAAAGGCGAAAAGAACCCCGGCGAGGGGAGUGAAAAAGAACCUGAAACCGUGUACGUACAAGCAGUGGGAGCCUCUUUUAUGGGGUGACUGCGUACCUUUUGUAUAAUGGGUCAGCGACUUAUAUUCUGUAGCAAGGUUAACCGAAUAGGGGAGCCGAAGGGAAACCGAGUCUUAACUGGGCGUUAAGUUGCAGGGUAUAGACCCGAAACCCGGUGAUCUAGCCAUGGGCAGGUUGAAGGUUGGGUAACACUAACUGGAGGACCGAACCGACUAAUGUUGAAAAAUUAGCGGAUGACUUGUGGCUGGGGGUGAAAGGCCAAUCAAACCGGGAGAUAGCUGGUUCUCCCCGAAAGCUAUUUAGGUAGCGCCUCGUGAAUUCAUCUCCGGGGGUAGAGCACUGUUUCGGCAAGGGGGUCAUCCCGACUUACCAACCCGAUGCAAACUGCGAAUACCGGAGAAUGUUAUCACGGGAGACACACGGCGGGUGCUAACGUCCGUCGUGAAGAGGGAAACAACCCAGACCGCCAGCUAAGGUCCCAAAGUCAUGGUUAAGUGGGAAACGAUGUGGGAAGGCCCAGACAGCCAGGAUGUUGGCUUAGAAGCAGCCAUCAUUUAAAGAAAGCGUAAUAGCUCACUGGUCGAGUCGGCCUGCGCGGAAGAUGUAACGGGGCUAAA